rnacentral:rRNA from 2 species
GGGUUGUGAGGUUAAGCGACUAAGCGUACACGGUGGAUGCCCUGGCAGUCAGAGGCGAUGAAGGGCGUGCUAAUCUGCGAUAAGCGCCGGUAAGGUGAUAUGAACCGUUAUAACCGGCGAUACCCGAAUGGGGAAACCCAGUGUGAUUCGUCACACUAUCAUUAACUGAAUCCAUAGGUUAAUGAGGCGAACCGGGGGAACUGAAACAUCUAAGUACCCCGAGGAAAAGAAAUCAACCGAGAUUCCCCCAGUAGCGGCGAGCGAACGGGGAGGAGCCCAGAGCCUGAAUCAGCAUGUGUGUUAGUGGAAGCGUCUGGAAAGGCGCGCGAUACAGGGUGACAGCCCCGUACACAAAAGCGCAUGUGCUGUGAGCUCGAUGAGUAGGGCGGGACACGUGGUAUCCUGUCUGAAUAUGGGGGGACCAUCCUCCAAGGCUAAAUACUCCUGACUGACCGAUAGUGAACCAGUACCGUGAGGGAAAGGCGAAAAGAACCCCGGCGAGGGGAGUGAAAAAGAGCCUGAAACCGUGUACGUACAAGCAGUGGGAGCACCCUUCGGGGUGUGACUGCGUACCUUUUGUAUAAUGGGUCAGCGACUUAUAUUCUGUAGCAAGGUUAACCGUAUAGGGGAGCCGGAGGGAAACCGAGUCUUAACCGGGCGUUAAGUUGCAGGGUAUAGACCCGAAACCCGGUGAUCUAGCCAUGGGCAGGUUGAAGGUUGGGUAACACUAACUGGAGGACCGAACCGACUAAUGUUGAAAAAUUAGCGGAUGACCUGUGGCUGGGGGUGAAAGGCCAAUCAAACCGGGAGAUAGCUGGUUCUCCCCGAAAGCUAUUUAGGUAGCGCCUCGUGAAUUCAUCUCCGGGGGUAGAGCACUGUUUCGGCUAGGGGGCCAUCCCGGCUUACCAACCCGAUGCAAACUGCGAAUACCGGAGAAUGUUAUCACGGGAGACACACGGCGGGUGCUAACGUCCGUCGUGAAGAGGGAAACAACCCAGACCGCCAGCUAAGGUCCCAAAGUCAUGGUUAAGUGGGAAACGAUGUGGGAAGGCCCAGACAGCCAGGAUGUUGGCUUAGAAGCAGCCAUCAUUUAAAGAAAGCGUAAUAGCUCACUGGUCGAGUCGGCCUGCGCGGAAGAUGUAACGGGGCUAAACCAUGCACCGAAGCUGCGGCAGCGAACGUAUCACCCAAGACAACUUUACGGAGUUGACGAUUGACGGAGCGAAGCGACGUCAAAGCGUUCAUUAAAGUCGAGUUGGCUUAGGGAUACGUUCGUUGGGUAGGGGAGCGUUCUGUAAGCCUGUGAAGGUGUGUCGUGAGGCAUGCUGGAGGUAUCAGAAGUGCGAAUGCUGACAUAAGUAACGAUAAAGCGGGUGAAAAGCCCGCUCGCCGGAAGACCAAGGGUUCCUGUCCAACGUUAAUCGGGGCAGGGUGAGUCGACCCCUAAGGCGAGGCCGAAAGGCGUAGUCGAUGGGAAACGGGUUAAUAUUCCCGUACUUGGUGUUACUGCGAAGGGGGGACGGAGAAGGCUAUGUUGGCCGGGCGACGGUUGUCCCGGUUUAAGCGUGUAGGUGUGUGUUCCAGGUAAAUCCGGUUCACUUUAACACUGAGGCGUGACGACGAGGCACUACGGUGCUGAAGCAACAAAUGCCCUGCUUCCAGGAAAAGCCUCUAAGCAUCAGGUAACAUCAAAUCGUACCCCAAACCGACACAGGUGGUCAGGUAGAGAAUACCAAGGCGCUUGAGAGAACUCGGGUGAAGGAACUAGGCAAAAUGGUGCCGUAACUUCGGGAGAAGGCACGCUGACACGUAGGUGAAGUGAUUUACUCAUGGAGCUGAAGUCAGUCGAAGAUACCAGCUGGCUGCAACUGUUUAUUAAAAACACAGCACUGUGCAAACACGAAAGUGGACGUAUACGGUGUGACGCCUGCCCGGUGCCGGAAGGUUAAUUGAUGGGGUCAGCGCAAGCGAAGCUCCUGAUCGAAGCCCCGGUAAACGGCGGCCGUAACUAUAACGGUCCUAAGGUAGCGAAAUUCCUUGUCGGGUAAGUUCCGACCUGCACGAAUGGCGUAAUGAUGGCCAGGCUGUCUCCACCCGAGACUCAGUGAAAUUGAACUCGCUGUGAAGAUGCAGUGUACCCGCGGCAAGACGGAAAGACCCCGUGAACCUUUACUAUAGCUUGACACUGAACAUUGAGCCUUGAUGUGUAGGAUAGGUGGGAGGCUUUGAAGUGUGGACGCCAGUCUGCAUGGAGCCGACCUUGAAAUACCACCCUUUAAUGUUUGAUGUUCUAACGUGGACCCGUAAUCCGGGUUGCGGACAGUGUCUGGUGGGUAGUUUGACUGGGGCGGUCUCCUCCUAAAGAGUAACGGAGGAGCACGAAGGUUGGCUAAUCCUGGUCGGACAUCAGGAGGUUAGUGCAAUGGCAUAAGCCAGCUUGACUGCGAGCGUGACGGCGCGAGCAGGUGCGAAAGCAGGUCAUAGUGAUCCGGUGGUUCUGAAUGGAAGGGCCAUCGCUCAACGGAUAAAAGGUACUCCGGGGAUAACAGGCUGAUACCGCCCAAGAGUUCAUAUCGACGGCGGUGUUUGGCACCUCGAUGUCGGCUCAUCACAUCCUGGGGCUGAAGUAGGUCCCAAGGGUAUGGCUGUUCGCCAUUUAAAGUGGUACGCGAGCUGGGUUUAGAACGUCGUGAGACAGUUCGGUCCCUAUCUGCCGUGGGCGCUGGAGAACUGAGGGGGGCUGCUCCUAGUACGAGAGGACCGGAGUGGACGCAUCACUGGUGUUCGGGUUGUCAUGCCAAUGGCACUGCCCGGUAGCUAAAUGCGGAAGAGAUAAGUGCUGAAAGCAUCUAAGCACGAAACUUGCCCCGAGAUGAGUUCUCCCUGAGACUUAGAGUCUCCUGAAGGAACGUUGAAGACGACGACGUUGAUAGGCCGGGUGUGUAAGCGCAGCGAUGCGUUGAGCUAACCGGUACUAAUGAACCGUGAGGCUUAACCUUACAACGCCGAAG